rnacentral:rRNA from 1 species
UGUGAACGCUGGCGGUAGGCCUAACACAUGCAAGUCGAACGGCAGCACAGAGGAGCUUGCUCCUUGGGUGGCGAGUGGCGGACGGGUGAGGAAUACAUCGGAAUCUACCUUUUCGUGGGGGAUAACGUAGGGAAACUUACGCUAAUACCGCAUACGACCUUCGGGUGAAAGCCGGGGACCUUCGGGCCUGGCGCGGAUAGAUGAGCCGAUGUCGGAUUAGCUAGUUGGCGGGGUAAAGGCCCACCAAGGCGACGAUCCGUAGCUGGUCUGAGGGGAUGAUCAGCCACACUGGAACUGAGACACGGUCCAGACUCCUACGGGAGGCAGCAGUGGGGAAUAUUGGACAAUGGGCGCAAGCCUGAUCCAGCCAUACCGCGUGGGUGAAGAAGGCCUUCGGGUUGUAAAGCCCUUUGUUGGGAAAGAAAUCCUGUCGGUUAAUACCCGGUAGGGAUGACGGUACCCAAAGAAUAAGCACCGGCUAACUUCGUGCCAGCCGCCGCAGUAAUAC